AUAUAGUCUGCCUAAUAUUAUAU
rnacentral:snRNA from 1 species